UUCCGCAUAUGCAUGCACACAUGAUCACCCUGUAAAAUUGUAAGUUCGAAUUGUCUGACGUAAUCAUGUCCGAAAAAGAAAAACACCUGCUUGACCGGACAUCGGUCCAUUUUGUCGCUUGUCUUGUCUGGAGACUAUUAUCAAUCUUUCUUUUCUUUCGCUGACCACAAGCUAAUCGGACUGAAUAAACAAACUCAACAUAUCCGAAAAGCAUACUAGCCAAGAAAGAAAUUUAAAGAAUCCAAGCUAAAUACCAAGUUUCCUUAUUUUGGUAUAAAACACAGUCAUUACUUGGUAAACAGACGAAGAGUGCUUGAGCUGACAGAAAACGGGGUUUUUCCCACGCCUUCAUCGAGGAGAAGCCCAGUUAUAUAUCUUCUCGCUGGACAUACCUAGAGCACCAAAGAAAAUCAACUUACCACGACCGCUAAUCCACCAACUGUUUUUUGCACUUGUAAAACAAGACGAAGAACGAGCUCAGUUCUCGUCUGAACUCGAGACAACGACGCGUCGAUCUAUAAAUCGUCCUCGAGCAAAUUGCAGUGCGGGUCGUGGUCAAGUGUUUCGUGUGUGCUG